CUACGGGGCGCAGCAGUGGGGAAUAUUGGUCAAUGGGCGAAAGCCUGAACCAGCAAUGCCGCGUGAGUGAUGAAGGCCUUCGGGUUGUAAAGCUCUGUCAGAAGGAACGAAAAAACUGCGUAACGAGCAGUCUUGACGGUACCUUCAAAGGAAGCACCGGCUAACUCUGUGCCAGCAGCCGCGGUAAUACAGAGGGUGCAAGCGUCGUUCGGAAUCACUGGGCGUAAAGCGAGUGCAGGCGGCCGUUUAAGUCAGAUGUGAAAUCCCGCGGCUCAACCGAGGAACUACAUCUGAUACUGGAAGGCUAGAGUGUCGGAGGGGAUGGUAGAAUUCCUGGUGUAGAGGUGAGAUUCGUAGAUAUCAGGAGGAAUACCUGUGGCGAAGGCGACCAUCUGGAAGACAACUGACGCUGAGACUCGAGAGCGUGGGUAGCAAACAGGAUUAGAUACCCGCGUAGUC
rnacentral:rRNA from 1 species